GUUUAAGCCAUUAACAUUUAGGGUUACUAUUGAUAUAUGGUUUGUACUUCCAGUCAUGUUUGUUUAUUUAUUUAAUUUUUAAAAAAUUUGGUUUGUUUUUCCUCUUUGAUUAGUUUUUUAUCCCCUCCCUUUACUGAGGUACUUCCCACUGUUGGUUUUUGUUGAUGUUUUUCAUUUCCUCUUCGUGUAGUGUUUUGCCCAAAAUGCUUUGCAGUGCUGGUUUUCUGGCUGCGAAUUCUUUUAACUUUUGUUUAUCAUGGAAGAUUUUUAUUUCAUUGUCAAACCUGAAGCUUAGUUUUGCUGGAUACAAUAUUCUUGAUUGGCACCCAUUAUCUUUCAGCAUUUGAAAAACGUUGUUCCAGGAUCUUCUCGAUUUCAGUGUCUGUGAUGAAAAAUCAGCCGUUAACCUAAUUGGUUUACCCCUAAAUGUAAUCUGCCUCCUUUCUCUUGUAGCUUUUAAUAUUCUCUCCUUGUUCUGUAUGUUGCAUAUCUUCAUAAUAAUGUGUCUUGGCGUUGGUCUGUUGUGGUUUUGAACAUUCGGCGUCCUGUAGGCUUCUAGGAUUUGGACAUCCGUUUCAUUUUUCAUGUCUGGAAAGUUUUCUAAAAUUAUUUCAUUUAACAGAUUGCUCAUUCCUUUGGUUUGGACCUCUAUACCUUCCUCUAUCCCAAUGACUCUUAAGUUUGUUUUUUUAAUAAUAUCCCAUAUCUCUUGGAUGUUUUGCUCAUGAUUUCUUACCAACCUUUCUGAGUUGUCUAGACUCUUUUCAAGAUGAUAUAUUUUGUCUUCAUUGUCUUAUGUUCUGACUUGGUCUACUCAACUGGUGAUACUUUCAUUUGAUUUUUUAAUUUGGUUUAUAUUUUCCUUCAUUUCUAGGAUUUUUGUUUGAUUUUUUUUAUAACAUGUAUCUCCCUGUAGAGUUGUUCAUUUGCUUUUUGAAUUUGUUUAUGUAAUUCAUUGUCGAUGUGAUCUUUCAUUGCUUGCAUUUGCUGUCUAGUGAUCUCUUUAAGAUUCCAUUCCAUCUGAGUCAGGUAUGCCUUGAGUUCUUUAUCUGACCAUUUUUCUGAUGCAUCUAGCAUCUCCUGUAAAUUUAAGCUGUCCUGCAUUGUUUGUGUUCCUUUUUUUUCCUUUUUUCAUGAUGCUUGUGUUUCUUUCCAGUUCUGUUUGACUGCUGUGUUAUUAUUUUCUCCUAUAAAUUUGUUUUGGUUUUGUAUAGCUCCAAUAUCUCUCCUUUGUGAUGGGAGACAAUGUCUUGAGAUGUUCGGUUUAAUUGUGAUUUAAAGUAAAUUCAUUAGUUUCAUUAAAGGCCUACAGAUUUUGAUGGCAUAUAGAGAAUUAAGGUUUGAACUUAGGAUUUUAUGUUAAGGUCGGGAGAUGUGAUGGUAUGGAGGUUAGUAUAUCUUAGCUUCUUUGGGGGAUUGCUCAAAUGCAGGCGGAUAUUAACAAGAGAAUAGACAGGAGUAUUUGGGGGUAACUAAGGGCUUAGGAGGAUUAUAGACCGUCUGGUAACAUUCACCUAUUUGCAUUUAGUAAAUUACAUGUAAUCGGAGUGGUGAUGCUUGGGAGGAAAGAUAGGGAAAAGGUAGGGAAGAAAACCAAGA
rnacentral:lncRNA from 1 species